AGCAGCCGCGGUAAUUCCAGCUCCAAUAGCGUAUAUUAAAGUUGUUGCAGUUAAAAAGCUCGUAGUUGAAUUUCGGGAUCAAUUUGCUGGUCGUGCCUUUGGUACGCACUGGUAUUAUUGGUUUCUCCUUUCUGAUGAAUCGCGAUGUCAUUAAUUUGGUGUCGUGGGGAAUCAGGACCCUUACUUUGAAAAAAUUAGAGUGUUUAAAGCAGGCUCACGCUUGAAUACAUUAGCAUGGAAUAAUGAAAUAGGACGUUUGAUUCUAUUUUGUUGGUUUCUAGGAUCGACGUAAUGAUUAAUAGGGAUAGUUGGGGGCAUUAGUAUUCAAUUGUCAGAGGUGAAAUUCUUGGAUUUAUUGAAGACUAACUACUGCGAAAGCAUUUGCCAAGGAUGUUUUCAUUAAUCAAGAACGAAAGUUAGGGGAUCGAAGACGAUCAGAUAC
rnacentral:rRNA from 1 species